GAUGAACGCUAGCUACAGGCUUAACACAUGCAAGUCGAGGGGGAAACGAUAUUGGAAGCUUGCUUCUGAUAGGCGUCGACCGGCGCACGGGUGAGUAACGCGUAUCCAACCUGCCCAUCACGUUGGGGAUAACCUUGCGAAAGUAAGACUAAUACCCAAUGACGUCUCUAGAAGACAUCUGAAAGAGAUUAAAGAUUUAUCGGUGAUGGAUGGGGAUGCGUCUGAUUAGCUUGUUGGCGGGGUAACGGCCCACCAAGGCGACGAUCAGUAGGGGUUCUGAGAGGAAGGUCCCCCACAUUGGAACUGAGACACGGUCCAAACUCCUACGGGAGGCAGCAGUGAGGAAUAUUGGUCAAUGGACGAGAGUCUGAACCAGCCAAGUAGCGUGCAGGAUGACGGCCCUAUGGGUUGUAAAGCUCUGUGAUCGGCUAACUCCGUG
rnacentral:rRNA from 1 species